rnacentral:rRNA from 1 species
GACGAACGCUGGCGGCGUGCUUAACACAUGCAAGUCGAGCGGUAAGGCCCUUUCGGGGGUACACGAGCGGCGAACGGGUGAGUAACACGUGGGUGACCUGCCCUCCAGCUCUGGGAUAAGCCUGGGAAACUGGGUCUAAUACCGGAUAUGACUCCAUGACGCAUGUUGUGGGGUGGAAAGCCUUGUGCGGCUGAGGAUGGGCCCGCGGCCUAUCAGCUUGUUGGUGGGGUGANGGCCUACCAAGGCGACGACGGGUA